CUAGCUCAAUUUUGAAAUUUCAAGGGGUACUGUAGGUUCAAAAAUACGCAAACACCGACUACA
rnacentral:sRNA from 1 species